GUAAAAUGUAUGUUUUAUAGCUAUUUAACUCCUUGAGAAGAGUACAAACGCUGUAUAAUAAGAGUACCGGCAACCCUGAUGUAAUGUCAUCCGAAAACUUUGUUGUGGACAUAUCGAUGGAAUUAUUUGCACGCGUGUUAAAUCCCUUCACUUAAACGAUAAUUGGAGCAUUCCCACUGCUACGCUCCGCUUCAGUGAAAUUGUGGAAAAGUCAAUCCCAUUAUUUGAAAUCGAAAGCCAAAUAUUGUAUU
rnacentral:misc_RNA from 1 species